rnacentral:lncRNA from 1 species
UCUAAGACGAGGAAAUUUGAAGUUCAGGACGCAAUUCCAAAUUUAAGGGACAUAAUUUUUUUAUGAUUCACCCAGAAAAACAUUAAAUACACACCAACUGCCCCUCUUAUCAAAAUUUUAAAAGUUUCGUUAAAUUUAAAAGGUUUGAACAAUCCAGGAUCUCAAUAUGUGGGAUCUAUUUAGACUAACGUAAAACGAGGAAAGCUACAAAGUAAUAAGGUCCUUUCUAGAUAUGGAGAUAUGUGAUUAUUUCCUUCAUUUCGCAGCUGUUUGAAGCUAAUUUAAUAUUAGUCAACAGCAUUACUAGAGAUGUAGAAAUACGCGCCUUUUUAAGCAUACGAGGACACAAUAGGGCAUGAGCGAUGUUUACUUAUAUUAGUUUUGUAAACAAGGGCCAGUGAGUAGCGCAGCGUUGCAGAAAAAUAAUACAACUCCCUGAAUAAUAAUUUUGAUUAAAGACUACUAUCUAGAAAAUUAUUAAAUUGUAUGCAUAAUAUGGAAAUCACUAUUUUUUACUAAUUUUCAAUAUGAUAAUAUUAAAACAAGAGAUCAAAUAAACUUAAAUAACCUAAUUUGAAAUUAGCUAAAACCAAUGGAUUCUAAAAUAAAUAAUUGCAUUUAUUCUACUAACUUAAUAAAAAAAAUUAUAGAAAUCUAAAUAAAUUGUUUAUCGGAGCCCUUUGAUCUCUGGUGCAAUAACUAUGUUUGAAUACUUUGUUGUAAAUUUUCUAGUAUUUUUGAAUUAGAUACUCAGGACUCAUACUUUUCAAUUUGACUUUUCUUUUUAAUGUUAAUAUUUAAUACAUACAUGAUGAUAUACAGAUGGUCCUGUUAUUUUUUGUAUCCUGAAAUCCAUUUCAAUUUAUUUAUUUAGAAUAUACACUAUAAUUUUUUUUAUUAAGUUAGUAGAAUAAAUGCAAUUAUUUAUUUUAGAAUCCAUUGGUUUUAGCUAAUUUCAAAUUAGGUUAUUUAAGUUUAUUUGAUCUCUUGUUUUAAUAUUAUCAUAUUGAAAAUUAGUAAAAAAUAGUGAUUUCCAUAUUAUGCAUACAAUUUAAUAAUUAAGGAAGAUGAAAGGCAUCAUUAAAGUGAUUCCAACAGUUCUUCAACUAUUUGAUUAAAAAUGGAUAAUACCAUUUUUGAACCUAAGAUUGAGAGUGAAAUUAUCAUUUACCACAUGGAAAGUGCUGUGAAAAUUAUUUUCAAAUGCCACAUUUUUUUAAACAAGUUAACGACUAGUUAAAUCAUAAAUAAUACUUGCCCAUUUAUUAGUUAUAAUCGCGAAAAGCCAAUAAGGAAUUUAUUAACUAUGGGUUAAUUAAUCAUAAAUACACUUUUACAUAAGUUUUAUUAAUCCUACUUUUAAUUUGUGGAUUUUUAUAAUGACUGAACGAUAAUAGUCCUGAAUUACUAUAAUCCCAGAUAUUUCCGAUGACUUAGAGAAAAAAUGAGAUCAAUUUUGGAUUCUGUGCUCAUGGAUAACUUUGAUUUUUGUCUUAAAUUUCUAUAAACUGCAUGAAGAAAAAUACUCGAUUGAUGUUCGUCUGUUGCCGUUGCCUUUAUUUAGGAGCUACACAGUAAUCAUUCAUUAAUAAAAAUUAUCUUAACUUAAUUCAGAAUAAAUAUGUCAAUGAGUAAUUCAAGAGUGAACUUCUUUGUUUUUUGAAAAUUCUUGAUUCAAAACGGUAUUAGCUCCCACUUAAUCUUCGUGAGUAAGUUCUUCAUCACAAAAGAGAAUAAUUCCGAGGGGUGAACUUAUUUGACAUUGUCAUCUAAAUGAGGAUGAAAUCCAGUCGAAACUCAUCUAGGAACUCUUUCUCAAGAAACAGCAACACUUAAGCAAGGAGACGAAACGGUGAAUUCCUCUUGGUCAAGAAAAGUAUGAAUACAUGCGAUAGAUUCCCAAAUGAAAUGUUUCAGUUAAACGACAGAUUUGGUUUUUUAUAUCUUAGAAUGUUCAAAUACUAAGUUAUAAUUACAGUAUAUACCAAACUCCACCGUCCUUCUGAAGACUUCUGCAGAAACAUUAUUCUCAGAAUGAGCCUGAAUCAAAUAUUUUAAAUACAAAAAAUUAGAAAAUAAAGCCCAGUGACAUCCUUUUAAAAGAACCCAUUAAUUUAAUUUUUACAUCCCUCACAUAGUAAAAAAAUAGUUGAUAGUAUUAGUUUACAUGUUCUAGAGCAGGGGACGGGGAACUUUUUUUAGCAUUACAUAAAAAUUUCUUCCAUGUUUUCUCACAAUAAUUGAUAUCCACUCGCAGUAACCCCAAAAAAAAAUCUGAAUUACCCCGGUUGGAGUAAUUUACUCAAGUUCCCCGGCCACUGUUCUAGAGUCUUUGGUUGGAUUCCAGUUAUUUGCUAAUUAUAACAAAUAUUUAAAUUAAGCCACAAAUAGUAAAUAUAAAACCUCCAAGACCUUUUAAAUAGAUAUUAUGGGAGCUAAUAAUUUUAAGCCAAUUAGCAACUAGAAGGGAAAUAAGUGAUUUUCUUCUACUGGGUGUCCGCUCUUUCUCUUGAGUCCUUUAGUUUAUUCUUGGAAUUCUUUUCUUCUGACUUGUAGAGUCAAAAUCUUCUGAAGCCACGCACUUGUCACAUCAGAAGUUGCAUUUCAGUUUUUAAUUGCAACUUUUCCUCUUCUAUGAUGGAUAUACAUAUAUUAGCAAUGAUAAUUUCUUUGGAUUGUUGUAUUAUGUUGAAAUGUCUUGGAUAAGCAUGGAACUUACUUGAAUUUCUUAUCAUACAGAACGAAAAACAUAUCCUUCUUAACAUUAACAGUGAUCUUGAUUUCAAUGAAUACUAUAGACAAUUCUAACAGGUAGUAAUACUGAAGACAUUUUUUUUAUUAUAUUUUUAAACAGGCGUUUUUUGAAGUGUUUCAUUUACAAUUUGUGCAGAAAUCAUUGAAAUCAAUGACACAGUCCUUAUGAAUAAAAUUUUGCUCUGCUUAAAUGAUGCUUUAUUUUUACUUGAUUUUCUAUAAGACGUAGUUGAUUUGGAAGUGUCCGAGUGGAGAAAGACUUGAUUAUGAUUUGAAUCAGAUCAUCAAAUGGUAUUAGCUUUAAAUGACUGAUCGAUUCAACAAGAAUGUGAGGCGAAUCCUUUAAUUUGGAAAUAAUCUAUGUUAGGAACCACAUAUUUUUAACUAUAUAGUGAACAAUUUUUAUUAGAGCGAGUGAAGGUUGACUAUUUCUUGUAUAUAAGAAUAAAAUUAUUACAAGGCAUAGCCAACUUGCAUGAUUUUAGGGACUAAUUUCCCCUUAUGCCCAUUUUUCUUUUCCUCUUCCUAAUACAAUGCGAUAUUCAUAUAGUAGCUUUUGAACACUAAAAUCUUUGUGUACUUGUUAUGAAAUAUAUUUUUCAGUUAUAGAAUUACUAUUUUUUCUCAAUUUAGUCUUGAGGAUCCUCAGAAAUUAAUAAAGAAACAUAUUGCAUAUUUUGAAUUUUAUUUUAUACACGGGUAUUAUUGUGAUUUUUAAUAAUAAAUCAUUUUAGCUUUAACGAAAAAUAGCAAUAUGUUAUAAUUAGUGGUUUCAUUUUUAGUAUUGGAUAAAUUAAAAAAAUGUAAGUUGAAAAGGUUACUUAUUUACACUGUAUUGACUAUUCAUUAUUACCGCUGACCAAAAGUUCCGUAAAAUCAGGCGUUAAUUACGAAUCUGUAAUAAUUGUUUUCAUAUCAAAUUUAGUUUUCGACAAUUUUUAAUUUAAUUUUUUUAGUAUAUUUACCCUUAUAGGUUUUACCCAACUUGUUGGGGCCGCAAGGGGAGUCUGGGGGGCACAGGAAGAUGGAGAAUUGAGGGUUCCUUUCAGUUUACACAAUUAAUAUGAAUAAAAAUAAUUAAUUCUAUUCAAAAUUUAAUGUUGAUUUCAAAUGUUUGAAAUGGGAUUAUCCAAUCUUGAUAAAAUGCAAUUUGAAUACUAAAAAAACAACUACCAUAUUUUAAGAGUUUUAUUUAUAUUUUAAAAAGAUCAACACCUCGAUUUUUCAAUUGUUUUUACGCUAAAUGAAUUUAUUUGAAUCAUGAAUAGCUAUAGUUUAAUUUACAAAUAUUUGUUCCAAGAAGUUUCAAUUACCAGCAAUAUCGUCUUAAUUUUUAAGCAGAAAUUUAUCAAGAUUAGGUGCUGAAAUUGACUACAUAAUUGUACGCAGAUAACUUAAUAUGAGGAAUCAAAUAGCAAAGUUUGGAAUAUUUAAUGACCUCCUUAUAUGUUUAUUUAAUAAAAUUGUCUGGUAAAAUAAUAAAUGAACUCAAAUUAUAUAAAUAUGUUUUAAAAUUGCCAUUAUUCAGGUAUACACAUCAUUCAUCAAGUGAGAGGAUAUUUAUUCCUCUGUAAUAUGUAAUCCUUCAUUGAAUAAUAAUUAACACAAGAUCCUCAAAGGUAGAAAAUUAAUCAUUGCCAUUUGAUACUUUUUUGAACUCUCUUUAAGUUAAUCAUCUGUCACUAUGUGUCAAAGAGUAAUUCAUAUACUUACUAUAUUCAUGUUCAUUUGAAAGAUUCUGAUCCAAAACGAUGUGAGCUCUUAGCGAGUGACUCUUUGGUCACUACAGAAACCGAUUCCGAGGGUUAAACUUCUUUGACUUUACCAUCUAAGUGGACAUUAGGAGAGGGAUUCGAAACUUAUCUAGGAACUCUUUCCUAAGAAACAGGAAAACUGAGAUGAGGAGAGUAUAGAUAGAUACUUCUUAGCAAACAUAUGUUUCUCAUGAAUACAUGAUAUAUAUUCCAAAAUAAAAAUCGUUUGGUUGAACAAUUAAUUUAAUGACUGCUAUAACCAGAUGAAAGCAAAGAUUUUUAUUUGCCUCGAAGAAAUACUAUUGAGGAAUGUUUAUGUCAACCUAUGUAUUUCUUGAAAAUGAGUGCACUUCCCAUGUAUAUAGUGCUCCCUCGAUGGAUUUAACUAGGACCGACGAAAAGAUUCAUUUAAUUCCAGGUGAAGAAUGAUAAUUAAAUUUAAAUCUAUUGGAAUAAUAUUUUUGUGUCUCUUCUAUGCGUAUUAUAUAUCGUAAUUUUAUUUAAUUUUCUUAUUAUGAUAUGGUUCGACCUUGUGAGUAAAUAACACAUAUUUGAACAUUAAACCAAUGAAACCGUUCCAAUUUCAUCUGCACCUUCUCUCUACUUCUAAUUUUCAUUUAUUAGAAGUUCUUGUUUUUUUUUGUUGAAGUAGGAGAAAUUAUAAGAAAUACAUGAAAUAUUAAAAAAGGAGAGCUUUUGUCAAAAGUUCUAAAAGAAAUAGAAGGAGCUAUUGCCGUAAAGAUGGGCUGAAGGAUAAUAAUAAUAAAAAGGGAGCAAUUACACGUGCGUAAGCAAUUAAGUGAACCCACAUUACGAAUUUACAACUUUACAUAACUGAAGAAAAAAAAAAAGGUUACACCCCACUGAGUGCAAUCCAUAUUACUGUGAGGUUAAAGCAAUAUAUCAAUGAUUGAAUUACACUAUACAACAAAAUUUAAGUUUUGAAAGGCCUACCGGUUGAAAACCACGUUUGAUAUUAUCAUUUAAGCCAUAGAGCAUGGAAAUGACAAUGAAAAUCUUCAACGAACAGAAGUUCAGGAUUUAGAGCCUUUUAAAAAAUAAAAAAAGCGUUUAUAUGGUGUAAUUUCUAUUCAGAAAUAUAUUUCGAUGUAAGAGAAUUAUAGAGAGAAAAUGAAAGUUAAAAUAAAUUGAUAACCGAAAUAUUAAUGAUUUAUAAUAUUAUCUUGAUAACAAUUCCUACAAACAAAAUUAAUCAUACAAAAAUAAAUGAAAAGGAUUUUUUCAAUUGAUUUGUAUUAUAGCUAAAUCGAAACUCAUUCAAUAAAAAUAUAAAAAAAGAAGGUAAUAAGUCAAGUUCAGUUUUUAUUAAGAGAUAUUAUUUCUUCGCCUGUUUGGAUUUAAUAGCAUGGAUCUGAUGGUACCAAUAUACAGGAACAAGUUUUAAUUGACAAAUAGAAAUUCAAUUACGUUCCCAAAAGUUCUGAAUUUUUUCAGUACUGACUCUAUAUAACCUUACUUAUAUGGUUUUUUUUGGCGUGCACUCUAAAAGUGUCAGAAGUGAUUCUGCGUAUGUGCUCCAAUUAAAUCUAUAUCGUAUAUUUGAGUUUUUUAAUUUACUUAAAUUUGAUAUCUGUGUGUUUAAGUAAUGGGGGGAGUCUUUUCAGACCUCUUAUUGCAUUCUAGGAAGUCCUUGGUAAGGCAACUAGGCAUUUUUCUUUAAACGGGACAAGGAUUGCUUCUUUUGGGAUAAGUCAGCCAUGUUUGGUUUACUGGUUUGAUUUUUUUUCUUCUUCAAUCAUCCAAAUACGUAAGUACUCAUUAUUUUGGCACAUAUAAUAAUAAUAGUGAAACAUAUAAAUUCUUCGUUGAAGAAUAUUGAUUAACUUCUUCACACGUGUCCCCCAGACACAGGUAACUCGAAGAUAACAUAUGAUAAGAUGACUGCAAGGAGAGAGAAGAUGAUAAAAUGUUCGUCAGAGUCAAUUAAUUUAAAUGUUGAUUUCAUGUGGAAUACCUUCAUUGUUAUACUCAGAGAUUAGUCAACCCGUCCUUUCAGACAAUAUAACCUCGGCUUAGUUGACGUAUUUGAUGCAGCCAUUUUUUGGGGGUUUUUUUUUCUAAAAAAGAGCUAUAUGGAGCAAAUCUUAACCAUACAUUCAAUCAUGCUUGUUCUUAUGCAAAUAAUGUAAGAGAUCGAGCAUAUUCUCUUAAAAAGGAAUCCAAGGUACAAGGUGUCUCUGUAAAUGGUAUUAUGAUUGAUUUAUGUAUGAAGAUUGAGGGAUCUGGUAAAUUUAGUGUGAUAUAUAUUAGAAAAGCAAAAAUAACUACCACAGACACCAUCAGAAGAUUUAAGGAUGACAUACCUUACUUGUCUAAAUUUGAGUCAGGUAGUGAACAAAACUCAUCCAAGUCCCCUCCUUCGCCAAGAGCAGCUCAUCAUAAACGGUAUAGUAAAAUGAGGGGUUGAAACUAUGAAAUUGUGAUCAUGCAAAUCCUAACGCCAUUCCACAAAUACUACUAAUUAGUGGGCAACUUGUUACCCAAUAAUUUUAGGGAGCGAGACAGCAGUGCUUUCAAUGCUUCAGCGUAGGAACCCUAAGUUAUCUUGUAAUGCCUAAUUUUCACAGACAUUUGCAUACCAAAGUAUUCUACAAGAAAAAGUUAAAGAGCGUUUACCGUCUAUUAAUAAAUAUCUAUUGGAAAAGUCAGAGAAGGAGACACGUUCUAGCGAAAUUACCUCCCAAAAGGGUUUUAACGAUUCAAAGGAGGAUACGAAGAAAAAAAAGGAUGUAGGAAGGUUCACCAAUGUAAUUUCUACUUUAAUACUAAGUGAAUAUUAAAUGUUCAAAGCAAUGGGGAAGAUACAAGUUAAAGCGCGAAUGAAUCCAGUCACGAAAUGUUAAGGAAAGCUGAUAAGUCAGGAGUAAUAUUCAAUAAAGAUCUUAGAGAAUGGAAGUGAAUUGACAAUUGAAACUAAAGGAAGAUAGAAUGCUGUUAUAUGCAAAGAAAAAAAUACAAGAGUGACGUCCUUUUAUCUAAAAAAAAAAAAAAGAAGAGAAACUUAUAUAAGUGGUGGCAAUUCCCUUUAUGAGGCUGAAUUGCUGCUUAAUAAUCCUUACAGAAAAUUACACAGACAUAUUCAGUCCAUUUCAAUCCUCACUUCCAAUUCCCUACUAGGUUUGUCUUCGAUUUGUGAGUCUCUUCUAUUAUUGAAAAAAGUGGAAGAUGAUAUUAGUCUGUCAAGUUUAUUCCUAAACAAAUGGAAUGAAAGUAGGACUCUCUUGUAUAUUUAAGAAAGUUUUAUAUUUGUAUUUUCAUGAUCAAUCUAUUUCCAACAGAGUCCUCAGAUGAAUGAACAAAAUUAUUAUUGUUAAAAUUGGUGUAGUUUAAAACAUUAACAGAUUUAACACUACGAAAAAAUAGCGUGAAAUUUUCAUGAUAAAUUGGUCAUAACUUGCUUAAUAUUGAAGUUAGAGACAUGAUUUUGGUAUCAAAAUGUAUUUUUUAUUACCAUUAUCUAUUGGAUAAAACUGGUUUAAAAGGGAAAUAAUUGAAUUGGAUUUAUUUUUUUUGUAACAUACAUACAUAAAGAGUUUUCAAGUUCAAAUACGAGCGAAAAAAGGAACUCUGCUCAUUGUUUUAUAAAAUGAGCGGGAGCGAGCUCAGGAUUUCUUGAGCUGACUAACGCUUUGUAUAUUUGUAUUAUCUGUUUUCUUGAUGAUGGACUUGACUGUUUGCUCUGUUAAGCCAUUAAUUUGAGGAUUAUGCAGUGAAUGUAUCUCAUGGAUAAUAAUAUAUUUUUUGCAGAAUUUAUCAAAUUUACUUCUAUAGUGUGAUCCUCCAUGAGUAUAAAUAUAUUUUGGGAAUUCUAACCAAUGAAAGUAGACCACGAAUUGAAUUUUGUUACAAAAGGAAAACCACUGAAUUUAUUAACCAUUAGAAACUAGUGAACCCCCCCCUAUACUCAAAGAGAUCAGAAGCCACAUGUGACGUUGCAUAUUCGGCUUCUGAAUUAAUGAUUGGUUCAUCUGGUUUACUUGAUAACAACUUCUGACAGGAGUGACAUUUCUCUAUCAUGUUUUUGAUUUUGGUAAAAAGUAGAGUUGUUGCACCGCCUUCCUUGUUUUCACAAAGCCUGCAUCAGGUAUAUGAAGUAAUUUAAGAGGUUUUCUCGCUCGGACGAAGGAACAAUAAUAAGGUUGUUGUCAUAAAUGAGGAGAGUGUAUUCAUCUUCAUCGAAUAGAGAUAAUUGAUCCCAGAUUGACGAGAGUUGUUUUGCUGGGUGGCUGGGUAGAAAUUUCUUCAUUUCUGUUCCCGACCUGAAUGCCUAUAAUAUCAUUUGAUAUUCACUGUCGUUUACUACUGCGUCGAUCAAUUGUUGCACACUGGGAUCUGUAGAAAUUUUGUUACAUAGCACUGUAUUAUCCUCAAACUCCUCGUUCGACUCCUCAGGUGAGUCAAAUACCGGAGCUCUUGACAAAGCGUCCGCUAUCUCAUGAGAUUUGCCUGGAACUCAUCCCAAUUCGAAGUGGUAAUCAGUUAAUUUCUCCCUGAAACGUUAUAGGAGUAUAUUUGGGAUAUCCAUAAUUGCCUUUUUAAACAAAACAACAAGUGGACGAUGAUAACUAUGAAUAAGAAAUUUAGGUAAACCAUACAAGUAAUAGUUACAACGAGCAACUGCCCAUUGCACCACCAAACACUCAAGUUCUACUAUAGAAUAUCUGGAUUCCGUUGAAGUUAAGCUUAUUGAUCCACAUUGGAUUCUUUUUAAGCUGUUGUCAUUAUCUCGUUGUACUAGAGUAAAUCCUACUCUAUUCAAACGUGAAUCAUCUGUUAACAAUUGAGUAGACAACUCGGGAUUAAAAUAACUGAUAAUUAGCCUUGAACUAAGCCAGGCUUAUUUUACUUCUUCGAAAGACUAUGUGUGGUCUUCUUUCCAUAAAAAAUUACGGAUAGAUGCAGCAAUGAUCUUAAAUUAUUAGUCAUGGGGGCCAAAUCCGGUACGAAGUGUCCGAGUUGAUUGAUAAGCCCUAUAAAAGAUCGUAACUUGAGAUAUUUUUGGGUACUGGGAAUGUAUGUAUAGCUCGAGCUUAUCUCAUUUGGUUUUACACCUUCACCAGAAACAGAAUAACCAACAAAGUUAUCACUUGGCCCAUAAACAAAUUUAUAUUUUUCUUUCUACAUUCUAAUAAAGUUUGACGUGUCCUUUGAAAUAUAGUUUGUUCAUCAGGUGCUUGAAUAAGGAUAUUGUCAAUUACCUUCUUAGCAUCACAUACCUUUUCAAUUGUAGGAUCAAAACAAAAACACCAUUCAUCUAAACUGGUAUUUAAGGCCAUAGGUGCGCUUGUAAAUCGAAAUUUACCAUCUGGCAUAAGAAAGGUAUUGAGAUUCUUGCUCUUGUCCUCUAAGGGGAUUUGGAAAUAGCCAUGAACACAAUCUAUUCUAGCAAAAAAAAUAUAAUCAGGCUUUAUACUACUCAUUAUAUCUUCACUUGUUGGAAAUGGAUGUAUUGGACGUUUGACAUAUUUGUUAAGACGUUUUUAAUCAACUACUAAUCGGACUCCCUUGCCUCCAUCUUGGUUGAUGAAAAAUGUAGUACUUAUCCAUUCAGUCGGGUUGGAGACUCGUUCAAUAAUAUAAUCUUUAAUUAAUUUAUCGAUAAGUGCCUUUGUUUUAUCAUGUUGAUGUAUGUUUAUUGGACAUGCUGUUAACUUUUAUAUGUUGAGAUUGAUCCAACUCGAUUUUCAUAGGUGGUCCAGACAUUGGUUUUUCGUCGAGAGAGUCACUGAAGAUAUCUUUGAAUUCUUUCAUGAUUUAAUCCAUCUUUUUAUUCAAGCGUUGAACUUUGUUCACAAUUACAUUUGUUAACUCUUCCGUGAUGGCUGGUAAUCUUUUGAAGUCAUGUAUACCUAUAAGAAACUCUAUUUUCAUAGACAAUGUAAUCAUAACAACAACAAUAAUACUUUUCUCACUAGAAUGUGUUGCUUUAAGUUGAGCAAUUCCCUCACGUUUCAUAGGAUAAUUACUUGCAUUGAACAACCUUUGAUUUGUGGAAGUAUAAGGAAAUCCAUUUUCUUUUAUAUAAUUUUAGGAAAUUAUACGUAUGCUCGACCCUGUGUCUGGCAAUGCCAUAACCUUGACAUGUUUCAAGCAUCCUUUGAGCCACAAUUGAACUUUCAAUUCCAUCCUCUUCAAAGACAUCGAUCCUUUGAUCUGAUUAAUAUAAUUUUUUUAUGAUGAAUAACGUUCUGGACUGUUCACUCUUGAGGUAUAUCGACUGUUAGCUUUUGUAUUGAAUUCGGAUUUGUCUUAGGAAGAAAAAUGUUACGUUUUUCUACAUUUGAAACAUGUGAUUGAUUCUCUACGAGGGCAAUCUUUGAUAUGACUAAUACUUCCGCAUCGCUUACAUACCUUCCUAACAUUUUUAUCCUUUUUGAAGAAGUUACUUUCAAUCUUAGUUGAUGUAUGAGCUAUAGGAUUCAUUGCCCUUUGACAUGAUGUAGCUGCCUCGUAUACACGAUCUGUACGCUUGACUUCUUCUCUGGUGGGAUUUUCUAAACUCAACAAUUUUUUUCUUAGUUCAUUGUCUGUAGUUCCAUUGACAUAACGAAAACCUGGAGAUCAUCAACAUUAAUAUCAGAUAGCUUACCCUCUGCUACUUUUUGUUACAAGUUUGCAACAAAAUCGACCCAUGAUAGUCCAGAUCCUAAGGAAUAUUGAAAAAGAUAAUCCAAUUUUCUAUGGAAUGGAGGAUACAGAUGCAGAAAUUCAUCCUCGAAAGCUUUGACAAAUCCAUUUUCAACCUUAGAAGAGACAGGAGUAGUGCCUUGUAUAUUAGGACUUAUUCUCUCUCUCAUACUAGCAUCAAUUAUCUUGUAGAAGCGAAUAUGUUAAACGUGCAGGGGAAAUUUAUAAAUUGAAUUUAGAGAAUAGCAACUCUUUAAACUUUUGACCCAUUCAGCUAAUUCCUUAGGAUUAGGAUCCUUUGUUGAAUUGAAAGGAAGAGAAGAGGUGUCAAUAUGGAUUAUAUUGUACUACUAGAAGGUUCGGGUUGUCUAUUUAAAGUUGGUCAGCUGGUUGCUCAUUCAAAGACAUAGUAUCUAAAAGCUUCUCCAGCGUCUCUUGAUAUUUGGUAUUCUUCCAAUUCGGUAUUUUAAGCAUCUGUUUAAACUGGAUCCAUGUCCAUCAAUUCCAUAUAAUGUUCCUACAAUGAUUUAUAGGGUUUUCGAAGACAAAUUCUUGCUUCAUCUAGGAAUAGUUUACCUUCAGAAGUUUUCUGUGCCAAUAUAGAGUUACACAAACUGUUUAUGUUAUUGACAGCUUUGGUUAAUUGAGCCUUCUUACUAGAUGAUCGCUUCUUUAAGUCACCACCUCGUCCAACCAUUUUCAUUUAGCAAUUCUUAUCAUUUAAAAUCACCUGAAAUCCGCUUAAUAUUUUUUUAAAUUAAAUUUUUAAAGGAUUCUUAACUGUAAUAAUUAAUAAUUACCGACUGUGCCAUUUUAUGUUGUUAAAUGCAGUAAUUAGGUUUUUGUACUUAGGAAUAAUUCUUCACUUCUCGAAUUACUUCUUUAUUAUAUUUUAUACAGAAGAUUAAUAUAAAUACGAAAAGGAAUGACUGUGCAUUUGCUUUCAUAUUCAUUAUCAGGUUAAAGACUAGUUAUAUUUACACAACCAUAGAAAAGUAACAUUAAUUGGAGUAAAUUAAUUUGGUACAGUAGUUUAGUCUCAGAAUUUUUGUCUUUUUACUAGUAGAGCGAAAAUCUUUUGAAGCCAUGAGGUGGUCCUAUCAGAAAUUGCAUUUCAGUCUUUAAUCGCAACUCUUCAUCUUCUAUGAUGUAUUUAAAUGUAUUAGCAUUUACAAUUUCUUUGUGUUGUUGCUUGCUGUUGUAAUGUCUAGAAUAAGCUUGGUGCUUACUUGAAUUUCUUAUCACAAAAACCAAUCUCGAUUUCAAUUAAUAUUAGAAACGAUUUUAACAUUUAGUGAAGAUGAAGAAAGUCUUGAAUUUUUUUUUUAAAUAUAAAUAUCUUCUGGUCUUCCAAGGUGCUUGUAGUUGUUAUUGGGGAGGAUCGGAUGGAAUCCAAUAAACAAUAAAUUAUUUUGCUGAUAAAGAAAAUAACAAUUCUAAUUAAGUCUCUCAAUUUUCAUAGAUAGGAGUGAGUAAAAAUCUGGAACUCAUAUAAUGUUCCAAAAGUAACCUAUAUUUUACGAAGGUGCAUGUUUGACUACAAAGUCUGCUCAGAAAUAGAUGAAGCAUUGUUAAAGUUCCUAGACCUUCAACGCAAUUAAAAUAUUUUGAUAAAAAGAUUAACAACUCCUAAAAACCUGGGCAGACAUGGAGCAAUACAAUUCUGAAGCUUUUGGAUGUUUUUUUUUGGCGAAAUUAAUUCUAUUUUUUUUUUUUUUGAUGGAGGACUUUGGGAACUCUUUAGUGUCUUCUGAAUAUUUUAAUUAUAAUUUAUAUGCAAUUAUAAAAAAUAGAUAUUAAAGGCCCCUACAGUGGUGAUACUUUUUUCACUCUUGACCUGGCCAUGGGAGGAUGUAUUCCAUUGUACGGUGCCUUGGUAGAAAUUCCAACUUCUCCCCAGAAGAUACCAGAUUCUUUUUGGAUGAUCUUUGGUACGGGAAUAAUUUUUACAUUUGAUGACUCAUAAAAAAAUUAAAAAAUAACGACAUAAAUUUAGUUACACUUUUACCUCGGAGCAUGGGUUAAGAGAACAGCUCGGUGAGAUAAAAGUCGUAGAUAAUAGAAAAAAGUUGUUUAAUCAUCACAAACCAUGAUUGAAAAUGGUUUAGAGGAAAAACAUACGAU